UGCCAGCCGCCGCGGUAAUACGGAGGGUGCAAGCGUUGUUCGGAAUUAUUGGGCGUAAAGCGAGUGUAGGCGGUUUGUCAAGUCGGGUGUGAAAUCCCAGGGCCCAACCCUGGAACUGCACCCGAUACUGGCAGGCUAGAGUCCCGGAGAGGAUGGCGGAAUUCCCGGUGUAGGGGUGAAAUCCGUAGAUAUCGGGAGGAAUACCGGCGGCGAAGGCGCCUUCCUGGACUGUCACUGACGCUGAGACGCGAAAGCGUGGGGAGCAAACAGGAUUAGAUA
rnacentral:rRNA from 1 species